GUGCUUAUUUCAGCAGCACAUAUACUAAAAUUGGAAUGAUACAGGGAAGAUUAGCAUGUCUCCUGCACAAGAAUGACACGCAAAUUUGUGAAGCAUUCCAUAUUUUU
rnacentral:snRNA from 1 species